AGAUGAGCUGGCUGUGGAUAGAGUAUGUCCUUCAGAGUGUUGGGUUACUACCCUUCUAAGUCUCAUAGGACAUCAAACAAGAGGCACCAGGAAGUGUAUGAGAGCAGAAAAAUGCAAUGAAGGGCUGCAAAGCUCCGUCUUCCUGACAACUCCAUCCCAUCCAACUCUGACACUCAAUCAGGAAUCUCGGCAGGUGGGGAUUUGUGGAUGAGAAAAUAAUUCUUCAUGUAUGAUAAGAAGACUUCAGACUCUUAGAUCUGAAUGGUCGACUAAAUCCAGUCUGCAUCCUGUAAAGGCACCACCUUGGGACAAGUAGCUCUGUGCCACCACCGUCUGGGAAGAGGUCCCUGGGCUGAGAGCAGCGCUACGGAGAACAAGGAGUUUUCUAACAGCAUUCUUCAAACACUUCGGAAAGAAGUUGGGGCCCCACUUCAUCCAACUCUACCCAAUUUGACUUGAUGCAUUUGAACUGACCCACAUCAUCGACUCCACCUGACUAGUACCUUCCUGAAACUGGUUUGGAACUACAUCGCUUGGCACAACU